rnacentral:rRNA from 1 species
UACAGAGGGUGCAAGCGUUGUUCGGAAUUAUUGGGCGUAAAGGGCGCGUAGGCGGCGCUGUAAGUCGGGUGUGAAAUUUCGGAGCUUAACUCCGAAACUGCAUUCGAUACUGCGGUGCUUGAGGACUGGAGAGGAGACUGGAAUUCCUGGUGUAGCGGUAGAAAUGCGCAGAUAUCAGGAGGAACACCGGUGGCGAAGGCGGGUCUCUGGGCCGAAUACUGACGCUGGAGGAGCGAAAGCGUGGGGAGCGAACAGG